GAUUGCACGCUGGCGGCAUGCUUUACCCAUGCAAGUCGAACGGUAACAGGCCUUCGGGUGCUGACGAGUGGCGAACGGGUGAGUAAUGCAUCGGAACGUGCCCAGAGGUGGGGGAUAACGCAGCGAAAGCUGUGCUAAUACCGCAUGUGAUCUGAGGAUGAAAGCGGGGGACCAGGCAGCAAUGUUUGGCCUCGCGCCUUUGGAGCGGCCGAUGUCAGAUUAGGUAGUUGGUGGGGUAAAGGCCUACCAAGCCGACGAUCUGUAGCUGGUCUGAGAGGACGACCGGCCACACUGGGACUGAGACACGGCCCAGACUCCUACGGGAGGCAGCAGUGGGGAAUUUUGGACAGUGGGCGCAAGCCUGAUCCAGCAAUGCCGCGUGCGGGAAGAAGGCCUUCGGGUUGUAAACCGCUUUUGUACGGAACGAAAAGGCUCUGGCUAAUACCUGGGGCUGAUGACGGUACCGUAAGAAUAAGCACCGGCUAACUACGUG
rnacentral:rRNA from 1 species